rnacentral:rRNA from 1 species
AUUGAACGCUGGCGGCAGGCCUAACACAUGCAAGUCGAACGAGUGGCGGACGGGUGAGUAAUGUCUGGGAAACUGCCCGAUGGAGGGGGAUAACUACUGGAAACGGUAGCUAAUACCGCAUACCAUCGGAUGUGCCCAGAUGGGAUUAGCUAGUAGGUGGGGUAACGGAUCACCUAGGCGACGAUCCCUAGCUGGUCUGAGAGGAUGACCAGGCGCACUGGAACUGAGACACGGUCCAGACUCCUACGGGAGGCAGCCGUGGGGAAUAUUGCACAAUGGGCGGAAGCCUUAUACAGCCAUGCCGCGUGUGUGAAGAAGGCCUUCGGGUUGUAAAGUACUUUAAGCUAGGAGGCGUUACUCGCAGAAGAAGCACCGGCUAACUCCGUGCCAGCAGCCGCGGUAAUAC